rnacentral:rRNA from 1 species
GAUGAACGCUAGCUACAGGCUUAACACAUGCAAGUCGAGGGGCAGCAUGGUCUUAGCUUGCUAAGGCCGAUGGCGACCGGCGCACGGGUGAGUAACGCGUAUCCAACCUGCCUUACACUCUUGGACAGCCUUCUGAAAGGGAGAUUAAUACAAGAUGUUAUCAUGAGUAAGCAUUUUCGCAUGAUUAAAGGUUUACCGGUGUAAGAUGGGGAUGCGUUCCAUUAGAUAGUAGGCGGGGUAACGGCCCACCUAGUCUUCGAUGGAUAGGGGUUCUGAGAGGAAGGUCCCCCACAUUGGAACUGAGACACGGUCCAAACUCCUACGGGAGGCAGCAGUGAGGAAUAUUGGUCAAUGGACGAGAGUCUGAACCAGCCAAGUAGCGUGAAGGAUGAAGGUUCUAUGGAUUGUAAACUUCUUUUAUACGGGAAUAAACGGAUCCACGCGUGGAUUUUUGCAUGUACCGUAUGAAUAAGGAUCGGCUAACUCCGUGCCAGCAGCCGCGGUAAUACGGAGGAUCCGAGCGUUAUCCGGAUUUAUUGGGUUUAAAGGGAGCGUAGAUGGGUUGUUAAGUCAGUUGUGAAAGUUUGCGGCUCAACCGUAAAAUUGCAAUUGAUACUGGCAGUCUUGAGUACAGUUGAGGUAGGCGGAAUUCGUGGUGUAGCGGCGAAAUGCUUAGAUAUCACGAAGAACUCCGAUUGCGAAGGCAGCUUACUAACCUGUAACUGACAUUGAUGCUCAAAAGUGUGGGUAUCAAACAGGAUUAGAUACCCUGGUAGUCCACACGGUA